AAUAUGACGCGUGUGUCCAAGCUACCUCAAAGUUCUUUCUCCUUGAAAUCUCUCUUCUUCCAGCCGAGCUUCCAUUUUUUUCUUCUCCAACUUUCUAUCUAUUUUCUCUUCCAUUUUGGUUUUUUGCUCACACUGUUUUUCUUUGCAUUCUCAUCUUCUUCCAUGAGUUUUAAGUGAAAUUGUUAUAUUUUCUUGGUUGUUUUAAUAUUGCUUUCAAUUUUUUCUGCUUUAAUUUGUUGGUUUGUGGUUGUAAGUAUGUUGCAUGGACGAAAUUCCUAUGUUGAAUCCCACUUCUUAUUCGUCUCCUGUGCACAAGACGGUAGAUUCGUCUCAAUUUUGUAUUGAUAAGUCGUAUUAUUAAAGGGCACAACCAAAAAUUUCUUUGGCCAUAUACCAGCAAAGACCUCAAAAUUCAAUUGGGAAACGGACGUAUGGCCACCUCUGUUCAUCCUUCUUUGCCAUUUUACGAGCAACUUCCAGACUCUUUGAUAACCUAUUAAAGGAACUAUUGUGGAAGAAGAGCACACCAGAUGGCUAUAUCUCUUUUGUGCGCCUUCUUGCGGAUUAACGCUAUUGUGCUGCAAAUCACCAAGUUCGACCAACUCAACCUCAAGAUAAUUUCAACAAAAGAAAAAUUAUACAAUCCUCUAAGCAUUUCUCAAACAACUGCGAGCCACGAAAUUCAUGAGACUCAAAUUCUAAAAAAUUUAGACAAAGGAAAGCAAGUAUGCAGCCUAUCACUAUCUUUGAAACAGGAACAACAGAUAGUACAUUCACGCAUUGAGAAGUAACAUCUGGAAGGAAGGAGUUGAAGAGUUGUUGUUCCAAUGACACAUUGCAAUUGCUGGCAUACUACCUUUUUUCUUUUUUUAAGUUUUUUGUUUCUAACUUAGUUGAUUGUCCCUUUAACAAAAUCAUUUAUAACUUGAAUACACUUCGUUGAAAAUUGUUAUUUAUAGUUGGAAUAGAUUCCAAAUUACUUUGUUUACAACAAGUUUAUCAUAUUGGGCCCGUGCUUUGCAUGGGCUAUACUCUUCUAGUA